UCCUGGUUAGCACAGUUGGUAAAGUGCUCCACUGGAAAUGGAGAGGUCUCUGGUUCGAUACCAGGACCAGGUG
rnacentral:tRNA from 2 species